rnacentral:lncRNA from 1 species
GUUGAUGUUUUAUAAACUUCAUACCUGAGAAUUAUAAGAUCAAGUUCAAGCAAGGACCUUUUUCAAUGCUGCCGGUUGAUUCGUGAUCCUUGAAGCCGUAUUUGGUCUUAUUCUCAAAACUAUUAGGCAAUCCCAAGUGCUAAUGCAUGAUGAUGUCUAUGCUUCACUUAGGCGGACUCGGGCCUUAGUGACUUAAAAGACAGUUAUUAUGUUAUUUUUGUUUGAACUCAAAGACAAUGUAAACUCUA